rfam:Populus trichocarpa scaffold_16_contig_79, whole genome shotgun sequence.
UCUAGAACUCGACAUAUAGGCUGAACACUAAACAGUGUCUGGGCUGCAGGGCAGAUUCAGACUUCUCCGUUGUUGCUAUAAUUUGCACUUGACAACGACCUUUUUAAAUCUUGGACUUCUGAUGAAAGUUUUAGGCCCAUGUUUUAGCUUUCCAUC